AGUAAGGGCGACUGAAACGGGAAGAGCCCAGCGCAGAACCUCGCGUCCUCACCGGCCCGAGGGGUGUUGCGUUGCGGAGGGUCCAGCACGCCGUCCUGCACCGCCUAAGUCACGUUGGAAAGCGGCCAUUUAUCCGAGGAGGGUGAUAGGCCCGUGUGGCGGAUCCCGCGAGGGCACAUGCAGGCGCGGCGGAAAGGGCCUCUCUGUAGAGUCGGGUUGCUUGAUAGUGCAGCCCAAAGUAGGUGGUAAGCUCCAUCUAAGGCUAAAUACAACCACGAGACCGAUAGCGAACAAGUACCGUGAGGGAAAGUUGAAAAGAACUUUGAAGAGAGAGUUCAAGAGUACGUGAAACCGCUAAGAGCCAAACGGGUGGGCCCUCGAAGUUCGAGGCCAUGGGGGAUUCAGCUCGUCGGCGAUCGGCUGGGGAGUGGGUGUAAGUCAAACGACCGCCGGAGCACUCAGCCUGCGGCGUGCCUCUCUCUACGCCGGCGUCGGCGGGCGUAUUUCGCCCGGUAGUAGGUCGCCGCGACCCGUCGCUGGGGACGUCGAAGGCCCGGGUGGACUGGUACCUCGUCGCCGGGAGGCGCCGUUUACUCGGCGUCGGCCCGUGCGUGCGGGGGAAACCCCCGGUGAUUCCUGGCUGCCCUGCGACGGUCGGAAAGUAUCACUGACGCCCGGUGCUGGGGUCUCGCUCCUUGCCCGUACCAGGGAAGGAGGGAGGGUGCCUCCGGCCGGGAAGUUUAACGUCUCGCGGCGUGCAAAAGAUCGGUGACCCACCCGACCCGUCUUGAARCACGGACCAAGGAGUCUAACAUGUGUGCGAGUCAAUGGGCACACUAAACCCACAGGCGAAAUGAAAGUGAGAGGGGGAGGGUGCUGCUGCUUCGGUGGUGGUGCUUCUCCCCUGCAGGGCCGAUCCCCUAGGUCCUUUCCGGGCGCGCGUUUGUGCUCACGGUCCCCUCGGUCCGUCGGGUCUGCGGCGGGGUGAGUCCCUUUCCCCCGUGGCACUGUGCCCGGCGGGCGGCUGCUUGCAUACCGCCAGGGCCUCCGCGUGACGUCUGGCGCUGCAAUGGUCUGUGGGGGCGACCGGCCGGAACUUUGGACCGGCCGGCCUCUUGUGGGGCCGGUUGGGAGUCAAUCCAGGGGCGCAGGCCCAGGACUUGCCAAGACGGCGUGCGUGGCCCCCGUCAAAAGGGGUGGCGUGCGAUAACCGGUCGGCAAGUACCUCGAGCAGACAUGUUAGGACCCGAAAGAUGGUGAACUAUGCCUGGCCAGGAUGAAGCCAGAGGAAACUCUGGUGGAGGUCCGUAGCGAUUCUGACGUGCAAAUCGAUCGUCGGAGCUGGGUAUAGGGGCGAAAGACUAAUCGAACCAUCUAGUAGCUGGUUCCCCCCGAAGUUUCCCUCAGGAUAGCUGGAACUCGGUUGACGAAUUUCAUCCGGUAAAGCGAAUGAUUAGAGGUCUUGGGGACGAAACGUCCUCAACCUAUUCUCAAACUUUAAAUGGGUGAGAUGCCGGGCUUGCUUGAAGCCUGAAGCUCCGGCGACUAAUCAAAGAGUAUCUAGUGGCCACUUUUGGUAAGCAGAACUGGCGCUGUGGGAUGAACCAAACGUCGAGUUAAGGGGCCUAAAUGAAUGCUCAUUCAGAUCCCAUCGAAAGGUGUUGGUUGCUAUAGACAGCAGGACGGUGGCCAUGGAAGUUGGAAUCCGCUAAGGAGUGUGUAACAACUCACCUGCCGAAGCAACUAGCCCUUAAAAUGGCAUGGCGCUCAAGCAUUCUCCCGAUACUCGACCGCCGGGGCACUAAGGGCCUCCGCAGGAGUGGUCUCGAAGCCCCGGUGAGUAGGGGGGUCGCAGGGGUGAGCGCAGAAGGGACCGGUGUGGUCCGGCCUGGAGCCGCCUCUGGUGCAGAUCUUGGUGGUAGUAGCAAAUACUCGAGAGAGACUCCCUCGAUGACCGACGUGGAGAAGGGUUCCAUGUGAACAUCAGUUGGACAUGGGUUAGUCGCACCUAAGCCCAAGGCUAAGGCCUGAUCCCACGCUAGCGGCAACGGCCAAAAUC
rnacentral:rRNA from 1 species